AUGAAGUUAAACAUUGCAAAUGCAGUAAUUUGGCAUUUGGACUUGGCACAGGAGGACAGGCAACUGACGGAGCAGGAACACCUGCUGCGUAAGCAGCUCAAGCUUAAGGUGAUUGGGCUUGCAGCCAUCGAGAGGGCCAGAAAGCGGCAAGCUGCAAGGAUCAUGUGGCUAAAAGAUGGUGAUGCAAACACAAAGUUCUUCCACGCAAAAAUCAGAGCAAGGAGGAGGAAGAACUACAUUCACUCGAUCAGGGUGGGUGACACUGACAUCACUGAACAUAAGGAGAAGGCCUCGGCCGCGAGAGAUCACUUUGCUGAAAUUAUGGGA
rnacentral:rRNA from 1 species